GUUCAGCCCUGAGAGCAUGGCCGGCGCUUCCAUUUAGGCGGCCUAGGCAAUCGCCUAGGGGGCCAGGAUUAUUAGUGGGCAGCGUUUUGCUGGCGGGGGUGGCAGGCGGCUCCGGUGGACCUAC